rnacentral:rRNA from 1 species
UACGGAGGAUCCAAGCGUUGUCCGGAUUUAUUGGGUUUAAAGGGUGCGUAGGCGGUUUGAUAAGUCAGUGGUGAAAGUUUGCGGCUUAACCGUAAAAUUGCCAUUGAAACUGUCAGACUUGAGUGUAGUUGAGGUAGCUGGAAUGUGUCAUGUAGCGGUGAAAUGCUUAGAUAUGAUACAGAACACCAAUUGCGAAGGCAGGUUACUAAACUACAACUGACGCUGAGGCACGAAAGCAUGGGGAUCAAACAGG